rnacentral:lncRNA from 1 species
GAAUCAGUUGUGUGAACACUCAAGAGAUGAAGACUCUGAGGUCCCAGUAGACCACCAGCUGUCAGCAGUGGAAUAUGAUAGCAGAUUUGUUAAGGACUGGCAGCCUGGGAACACUGGAGGCCAGCAGAAGCAGCGGAUACAGAGAGG